CAUGGAUUGAGAAUCGACCAGUCAAGGUUCAUGGUAGGAGCAGAGAACAUUGAAGAGCAGAUCCGAUUCAAAUCACAGAGCGAGUUGUGUUCGUACCAUGGCGGAUUCGCUAUUUAAACUGCAGAAUUUUAAGGCGCACAGACUGAACGCAUCUCCAGAGAACAAACGGAUCUGCUCAUGCGUGAGCAAAUAGACAGUCUUUUACAUUGGCUCUGGCAGAGCAAUCAGGCAGCGGAAAUGGAGUGUUGUCGUGUGUUUAUUAGAACGUCGACGGACUUAAAGCUACUCUGUCAGCUGUAAUGCUCAGAACACAGAGACCACAAGCCCAAUCACCUGACAGGCCUGGAGAACCUGCAGACAGCAUCCAGACAGCUGUAGCUGGAGACCAGCAGCACUCAGAUCAGAUCUUGACUAAUGUUCAGCCAGUUCAUCUCAGAGCAUACUGAAUUCGAUAUGGAACACAUUCUCUAGACUGGCCUUAGCAUCACUUCAAUGCUAUGGAGCGAUAAGAAGACCGGACAGAUUCAAAGCCCACUCUUGCACAUACUCAGCUGGAGAUGGUAGAGAUGCAAAUGAAGCUAAUGUCCCCUAAGGCCUUGUCCAAUAAUCUACAACCAUGAAGAGAUAAUUUCUCUGAGUGCCACACUCUGACAACUCCUUAUUCUGCUGUGCCUUUGAUCUUUCUGGAGUCUAUUACAGCAAAUAAACAGAGACAGGCUCCUUACAUGGGAAUAAAAUUGAGGAGAGAAUUUAUAAAACCAAAAGGAUUUAAUUAUUCAGGAGUCACGUUAGGGUUUUAAUUCAAAAAGAAAGAAAAAUGCUAUUUGUUUUUCAGUUCAUUCCAUUUCAUGUACAUCCCACCAUCUCAAAAUAAAAAUC